AAACGGUUAUUAUUUCUACCUAAGACUCAGGUGUUUACCUUAAAUGCUUAUUUAUAAGCGGCCCGCCGAGGAGAAAGUUUGUACGGUUUUUAGCAGACUCUCAAUCGGCGUUGUGUCCUUAGGCACAGCGUUUUUUAUUUAGGAGA
rfam:Lactobacillus backii strain TMW 1.1989, complete genome.